UCAAUUAUGAUUUUGUGAAGUUGAAAUGGGCGGAGUCCAAAAUAUAAUGGUCAAUACAAUUGUCCAGUCCAAUUCAGCCACUGCUCUAAAAGUCUUGUUUGAACAGCCCAAUAAAAGCAAACCUUCCUCUCUUCUCAUUUUACACGCGAUCAACCGUCGCCUGAAUUCUACCGCCCAAGUCUCCAUUCGGUGUCACUCCUCGAGUCAAUCAAUUAAUAGUAUUUGUUAUCGCCGUUGCACGAACACCGCCAAUAAAUCCCACGGUCGCCGCGAAGCACCUCUUUGUUAUUUUUCGAGCUACCAUCAUCGGAUUUUUGCAAAAAGGUCCCACAAAAAGAUAGGUCUUCUCUUGUGCUAUGGCGCUAGACACAGGUAUGUUUACUGUGCUACAGACGAUUGGUAGUGCUUUAUGCUGCAAGUGUGGUAUUUUAAUACAACCAAAUGUGGCAAACAUGUGUGUCAAAUACCUGCGAUCCGAAGUAGACAUAACAAAA